rnacentral:rRNA from 1 species
AUGGAGAAGGUGGCCGUGGCAGCGGCGAAGACGGCGCACCCGCCGCCGCCGUCGCCGGGGAAGCCGACGACGCUGCUGGACGUGCACGAGGUGGAGUGGAUCACGCGGGAGCUGGAGCGGCUGCUCGUCAGGGAGACCGUUGGAGCCGGCGCGGACGCGCGCCGCCGCAGGAAGAGGGCCGAGGCCAAGGCGGCCAGCCCCGAGGCGCACGCGAAGAAGGGAGGCUUCCUGGCCGAGCUCCUCGGGAAGCACGCGGCCUCCAUAUGCGGCGACGGUGCCGUUUCCGGCGCCGUGCUCAGCGCGCGCCGCGGCCGCGGCAGGAGCGGCUUUCGGGAGGUCGAUAAGGUCUAG